rnacentral:misc_RNA from 1 species
AGCAGCCGCGGUAAUUCCAGCUCCAAUAGCGUAUAUUAAAGUUGUUGCAGUUAAAAGGCUCGUAGUUGAAUUUCGGGAUCAAUACGUCGGUCGUGCUUUCGGGUACGUACUGGCGUCAUUGGUUUCUCCUUUCUGACGAACCAUGAUGUCAUUAAUUUGGUGUUAUGGGGAGUUAGGACUGUUACUUUGAAAAAAUUAGAGUGUUUAAAGCAGGCAUUAGCUUGAAUACAUUAGCAUGGAAUAAUGAAAUAGGACGUUCGAUCCUAUUUUGUUGGUUUCUAGGAUCAACGUAAUGAUUAAUAGGGAUAGUUGGGGGGCAUUAGUAUUCGAUUGUCAGAGGUGAAAUUCUUGGAUUUAUUGAAGACUAACUACUGCGAAAGCAUUUGCCAAGGAUGUUUUCAUUAAUCAAGAACGAAAGUUAGGGGAUCGAAGACGAUCAGAUACCGUCGUAGUCUUAACCAUAAACUAUGCCGACUAGGGAUCGGAUGAUGUUAAUUUUUUAAUGACUCAUUCGGCGCCU